GCGCGACCCAAAGCUGCUUCCAGCCAGCCGGAGCCGCGGCCCCUUUAGGAGGGGGCGGUGCCUGAGUCUGGGCGCCAGAGACGCUAGGGCGGCGGGGCCGAGUUGCUGGCAUCAGAGCGAGGCCUGGGGAGAGGUGUCCUCGUCGUCGUCACAUCAGGGCCACGGCAGAGGCUGCGGCGGUGGCGGCAGCUUCCAAGGGGCGGUGGAGGACGAGGCAGCCUCGCCGGUAUUAUUCUGUGUGGAGAGAACAUUCAGAAGCCUUCCUUCCAGCUCCUUUGAAAUCUGCAAUACGAAAUCAUUAACCAGAGUCAUCCAGCUAUGAAAUAGAACACCAGACUGUUCCUAACAUAAUGUGUUCCAGGUUCAACUGUGUUGCUCCAAGUGACAUGUUAUUAUUUUGAUGGCUGAAGUGUUUUGCCUUGUGUGUAUAUACACCAGAGGUUUUUAAAAAUCUUUUCAUCUGUGGAUAGACAGGCUGGAGCCCAGAGAUAUGCAGAAUCCCUGCAUUAGCUGAUGCAUCGUUGGAUCCAGAGAAGCGGCUGGGAACUCCAGAGCCUUGGCCCUUGUCUGAGUCUGAGUGGUAGUACAGGAGAUACCGGGGAGGGCUCCCUGGCUUUUGUUGGUACCAUCUUAUCCAGAAGUCACCAACACUGAAGCCACUGCUCAGCGUGCAGACUGGAAGUCCCUUCCCCGCUUUCAGUUGUCCUGCCUUCACCUGGAGCUGCCCCACCUUUCCAGACUGAACUGACGUACAUCUUACACAUGAUGAUCGAUGUCUCAUGUCUCCCUAGAAUGUGUAAAACCAAGCUCUACUCCUACCACCUUGGACACAUGUCAUCAGGAUCUCCUGAGGCUGUUACAGAUGUGCCUCCUCAACCUUGGCAAAAUAAGCUUUCUAAGUUAAUUGAGACCUGUGUCAGAUUUUGGGGGUUCACAACAGGAAGAUUAGAAAAUGCUUCGAACUUUAUAGAGACUGGCUCAAUGGUUGUGAUCAAAAUGCUGAUGGUGUUAUGAACAAUGAAGUAUAGGCUGUCAACGUCUCAGAUGGAAAGCGAGUAACUUAUUGGGAACUGGGACAAAUAUCUCCCAUGUUAUGCCUUAGGAAAGAGUUUGGCUGAAUUCUAUUCAUGUUCUAGGAAUCUGUGGAAGUUGGAACUUCAGAACCAUCAUUUAGAGUAAAAAAAAAAAAACAAAAAAAACCUAAAUAAAAAUUUAAAAAUUAAAUAAAAACUUAAAAAACUAAAUAAAAAUUUUAUAUAGUUUACUUUUGUUUUGAUUUGUUUUGUUUUCACAAGUACAUUAUUUAACUUGGAAGUCAAAUCUUAUUAAAAGGAUAUGUGAAUUUUUUAAAAUUAUACUUUAAGUUCUAUGGUACAUGUGCACAAUGUGCAGAUUUGAUACAUAUGUAUACAUGU